rnacentral:misc_RNA from 1 species
GUACGCGUACGUCUACCUGCUAUCGCAACGAGCACGCGCCCGAACGCCGAAGUUCUUCUUCCGCGAGACGAAAAGUUGCGCGGAGGGAAUCGCGAAGGCCCAUCGUCACGCCGUGGACAGCACGGACGAAUGAUGGACUGAAGUUAAUCCCUGGAGCUCCGUCUGGUUCGUGAAAGCUUUUCGAAGAGAAUCGACGUCAAGUACGUUAUCAUCCCUGAGAAGAAUUCAGGGUCAAAAUCCCAGGGUCAGAAGAGCGGGAAAACCCGUCGAGGAUUUAAAAAAUGAACGAGCUUCCUCAAUAGGAGGUAAACCAAUUAAAGUUACGGUUUGUAUCUCUGUUACGACACGGAAUCAAUCCAUCCACAAUCCAUGUUAGCCUUCGUUAACGAUCUUUAACAACCUUUAACAAGAUCGAUAAGUUUUCUUUUAUUUUCAUUUGGAUUUUAUUCCUCGUUUUUUUUCUCUCUAAAUAUACUCGUUGCAAAGAACGCUGUAUAUUAUAUACUUAAUUGGGAAGUAUUGAACUCGUAUAUUGUGCGUGAUGAAUUGUUUCCAACGAUAAAACUUGACACGUUAUUAAUAAAUGGAAAAAAAAAAAAAAAAAAA